GGGGAAUAUUGCACAAUGGGGGAAACCCUGAUGCAGCGACGCCGCGUGAGCGAAGAAGUAUUUCGGUAUGUAAAGCUCUAUCAGCAGGGAAGAAGAAAUGACGGUACCUGACUAUGAAGCACCGGCUAAAUACGUGCCAGCAGCCGCGGUAAUACGUAUGGUGCAAGCGUUAUCCGGAUUUACUGGGUGUAAAGGGAGCGCAGGCGGUACGGCAAGUCAGCUGUGAAAACUACGGGCUUAACCCGUAGACUGCAGUUGAAACUGUUCAUCUUGAGUGAAGUAGAGGUUGGCGGAAUUCCGAGUGUAGCGGUGAAAUGCGUAGAUAUUCGGAGGAACACCGGUGGCGAAGGCGGCCAACUGGGCUUUAACUGACGCUGAGGCUCGAAAGUGUGGGGAGCAAACAGGAUUAGAUACCCUGGUAGUCCACACUGUAAACGAUGAUUGCUAGGUGUGGGGGGUCUGACCCCUUCCGUGCCGGAGCUAACACAAUAAGUAAUCCACCUGGGGAGUACGACCGCAAGGUUGAAACUCAAAGGAAUUGACGGGGGCCCGCACAAGCAGUGGAGUAUGUGGUUUAAUUCGACGCAACGCGAAGAACCUUACCAAGUCUUGACAUCCCUUGACAGGCAUAGAAAUAUGUUUUCUCUUCGGAGCAAGGAGACAGGUGGUGCAUGGUUGUCGUCAGCUCGUGUCGUGAGAUGUUGGGUUAAGUCCCGCAACGAGCGCAACCCUUAUGGUCAGUUACUACGCAAGAGGACUCUGGCCAGACUGCCGUUGACAAAACGGAGGAAGGUGGGGAUGACGUCAAAUCAUCAUGCCCUUUAUGACUUGGGCUACACACGUACUACAAUGGCGUUAAACAAAGAGAAGCGAGACCGCGAGGUGGAGCAAAACUCAGAAACAACGUCCCAGUUCGGACUGCAGGCUGCAACUCGCCUGCACGAAGUCGGAAUUGCUAGUAAUCGUGGAUCAGCAUGCCACGGUGAAUACGUUCCCG
rnacentral:rRNA from 1 species